GRCYYGMMMWACCGCCCUUACUCYUACGGGAGGCAGCAGUGAGGAMYYUUGMRSRRUGGGCGAAAGCCUGACGCAGCGACGCCSCGUGGGGGAUGAAGGUUUUCGGAUUGUAAACCCCUUUCGGGCGGAACGAAUCCCGGUCGGAUGAAUAAGCCGACCGGUUGACGGUACCGCAAGAAGAAGCCCCGGCUAACUCUGUGCCAGCAGCCGCGGUAAUACAGAGGGGGAGAGCGUUGUUCGGAAUUAUUGGGCGUAAAGGGUGUGUAGGCGGUCUCSCAAGUCAGAGGUGAAAGCCCCCGGCUUAACCGGGGAAGUGCCUUUGAUACUGCGAGACUUGAGUGCAGGAGAGGAGAGUGGAAUUCCCAGUGUAGCGGUGAAAUGCGUAGAUAUUGGGAAGAACACCGGCGGCGAAGGCGGCUCUCUGGCCUGUUACUGACGCUGAGACACGAAAGCUAGGGGAGCAAACGGGAUUAGAUACCCCGGUAGUCCUAGCCGUAAACGAUGAACACUAGGUGAGGGAGGUAUUGACCCCUUCCUUGCCAAAGCUAACGCAUUAAGUGUUCCGCCUGGGGAGUACGGCCGCAAGGUUGAAACUUAAAGGAAUUGACGG
rnacentral:rRNA from 1 species